CGCUGAGGCGCGAAAGCGUGGGGAGCGAACAGGAUUAGAUACCCUGGUAGUCCACGCCGUAAACGAUGAGUGCUAAGUGUUAGAGGGUUUCCGCCCUUUAGUGCUGCAGCAAACGCAUUAAGCACUCCGCCUGGGGAGUACGGUCGCAAGACUGAAACUCAAAGGAAUUGACGGGGGCCCGCACAAGCGGUGGAGCAUGUGGUUUAAUUCGAAGCAACGCGAAGAACCUUACCAGGUCUUGACAUCCUCUGACAACCCUAGAGAUAGGGCUUCCCCUUCGGGGGCAGAGUGACAGGUGGUGCAUGGUUGUCGUCAGCUCGUGUCGUGAGAUGUUGGGUUAAGUCCCGCAACGAGCGCAACCCUUGAUCUUAGUUGCCAGCAUUCAGUUGGGCACUCUAAGGUGACUGCCGGUGACAAACCGGAGGAAGGUGGGGAUGACGUCAAAUCAUCAUGCCCCUUAUGACCUGGGCUACACACGUGCUACAAUGGGCAGAACAAAGGGCAGCGAAGCCGCGAGGCUAAGCCAAUCCCACAAAUCUGUUCUCAGUUCGGAUCGCAGUCUGCAACUCGACUGCGUGAAGCUGGAAUCGCUAGUAAUCG
rnacentral:rRNA from 1 species